rnacentral:rRNA from 1 species
AGUAGUGCGGUAUAACAAAAUGUCUAUGCUUCUAAUCGUCUUCGGACAACUUUUGACAAUCUGACCUCAAAUCAGGUAGGACUACCCGCUGAACUUAA